GAUGAACGCUAGCGGCAGGCUUAACACAUGCAAGUCGAGGGGCAGCGAGAGAGUAGCAAUACUUUUGUCGGCGACCGGCGGACGGGUGCGUAACGCGUAUGCAACCUACCUUAUACAGGGGGAUAACCUUUCGAAAGGGAGACUAAUACCGCAUAACAUUACUUUGAGGCAUCUUGAGGUAAUUAAAUCUUCGGAGGUAUAAGAUGGGCAUGCGUACGAUUAGCUAGUUGGCGGGGUAACGGCCCACCAAGGCAACGAUCGUUAGGGGUUCUGAGAGGAAGGUCCCCCACACUGGAACUGAGACACGGUCCAGACUCCUACGGGAGGCAGCAGUGAGGAAUAUUGGUCAAUGGUCUGACGACUGAACCAGCCAUGCCGCGUGAAGGUCACGGCCCUAUGGGUCUUAAACUUCUUUUGCGAGGGAGCAAUAAGGCGCACGUGUGCGUCGAUGAGAGUACCUCGCGAAUAAGCAUCGGCUAACUCCGUGCCAGCA
rnacentral:rRNA from 1 species